AAUCAACGCUGGCGGCGUGCCUCAGACAUGCAAGUCGAACGAUUAAGACUUCCUUCGGGAAGUGCAUAAAGUGGCGCACGGGUGAGUAACACGUAAGUAAUCUACCCUCGAGUGGGGAAUAACGUUCGGAAACGAACGCUAAUACCGCAUAAUGCAGCGGCAUCGCAAGAUGACAGUUGUUAAAGGAGUAAUUCGCUUGAGGAGGAGCUUGCGGCAGAUUAGCUAGUUGGUAAGGUAACGGCUUACCAAGGCUACGAUCUGUAUCCGGUCUAAGAGGACGGUCGGACACACUGACACUGAAUAACGGGUCAGACUCCUACGGGAGGCAGCAGUCGGGAAUUUUGGGCAAUGGGCGAAAGCCUGACCCAGCAACGCCGCGUGAAGGAUGAAGUAUUUCGGUAUGUAAACUUCGAAAGAAUGGGAAGAAUAAAUGACGGUACCAUUUAUAAGCUCCGGCUAACUACGUGCCAGCCGCCGCGGUAACAC
rnacentral:rRNA from 1 species